CAAUAGCGUAUAUUUAAGUUGUUGCAGUUAAAAAGCUCGUAGUUGGAUUUCGGGUGGGACGCAGCGGUCUCGCAUUGCGUUUGUACUGCUGCAGCCCUCCUUCUUGCCGGGGGCGGCCUCUCGGACUUCACUGUCUGGGGGUCAGAAUCGGCGAUGUUACUUUGAGUAAAUUAGAGUGUUCAAAGCAAGCUUACGCUCUGAAUAUAAUAGCAUGGGAUAACACGACAGGACUCUGGCCUAUCGUGUUGGUCUAUAGGACCAGAGUAAUGAUUAAGAGGGGCAGUCGGGGGCAUUCGUAUUCCGUUGUCAGAGGUGAAAUUCUUGGAUUUACGGAAGACGAACAUCUGCGAAAGCAUUUGCCAAGGAUGUUUUCAUUGA
rnacentral:rRNA from 1 species